UGGGGAUUGAACCCAGGGCUUUAUGUAUUCAAGACAAGCACUCUACCAACUGAGCUAUAUCCCUAGCCCUCGGUGAUUAGUUUUUAAAAAGAAAAGGCACAAAAUUUUUUAACCAAAGCUCCCCUUGCUUUGCUUUCUUGUAUUUCAUUUUCUCUUAGGAGCCUUCCAGGGUUUUUUUAGUCUCUUUGUACCUCUGGAGUUGUUCAUACCUCAGGGCAAAGACCUAAAGUAAGAUUGGUGUGAGAGAAUUAGGGAGUAUGACAAUUGUAAAAAGGGAAGUAGUUCAAGAAAAAUGAAUAUCUCUAAAUCUCUUUAGUCACCUUAAGUCACAUCAGGUUUAGGACAAUACAUGUAGACACUGAAGAUUUUCAAGUUGAUUUCCUUAUUACCAUACAUAUAUCAUCAUACACAGUAAAAUCUUGAUGUAUCCUCAGGGAUAGGAAUACAUCAUUUUGCUAAUGAACUUGGGGACCAAAAAAAAUCACCUGGUUACUUAUUAAAGUACCCAAAUUCCCAGAGACAGAGCUCUGAGGUCUGGGCCAUUUAAACAAAUAUUCUUGGAGACUUUGAUUCAAGUUUUCUAGAGUACUCUAGUAGAAGCCCCGCCCCAGGAGGGCUUUUAUUUCCUGUUCUUGUAGGUUCAAAACAGGAAGUAGGCAGCACAAGAUCCCUUUAUCAUAUAGUUUCUAGAAGGGAAGUUUUCUUAAAUUUUUUUUAAAAAUUAUUUUUAAAUAUACAUUUUUUAGUUGUAGGUGGGCAGAAUUUUUUUUAAUUUUUAUGUGGUGCUGAAGAUUGAACCCAGUGCCUCGCACAUGCUAGGCGAGCACUGUACCACUUUAGCCACAGUUUCUGAAUUUUAAGACUGAUGUAUUCAGUCCCUCUUACUUUGCACAUGAAGCCAAAUGAUAAAGCUGGUGAUUGAGGGUUACUAGAGUCCAUGUCUCAUGACUAGCAAAUCUUAAAAAUACCUGUUAACUUUUGGUAAAUAUUUUAAAGAGUGGUACUUGUUGAAUUUGGGACAAGUAAUAACCUUAAAAUAUAUAUCUUCUAAUGUUUUUAGAGACUCUAAUUUACAGCCAAAAUGAGACUUUAGAAAGAAUAAAGAUUUUGAACAUUUCUCCCAAAAGAAAGACCUGGUAAAUGUCAGGCUUAGCAAAAUCAGAAAACUGCUCCCACUGUGAGAAAAGUAAAGGUAACAGAGGGACUCUGAACCAUUUUCUCUAGGUAUUGCUUUUUCCUGGGAACUGAAGCUCAAGUGUGGUGUGUUCUCUGCAUUUAGGGAUGUUAGUUUUCCCCCUAGUAAGUAAAGCUUACUUACUAAAUGUUUUGUUAGAACAUCGUGAAUGUUGUAAAAUUUUAGAAAAUUUCAUCUCUGUCCCUCCCUCUAUACUUACUUUGUAAAGUUUGAUAGCUUUCCAUUUUUUGGGA
rnacentral:lncRNA from 1 species